UCCAGUUUACAAGAUCUAUAUGGUCUAUUUCAAUAAAAUAACUAAUAUGUACCUAGUUAUUAUGAAACUAUUCAAAACAAUGGUGUGGUAGUAAAAUCUAAUGAUCAGAGUGGUAACAAUGUAAUUUUGAGGUUGUUUUACUGACUGCAUUCAGUUCACUAAACGUCACAAACAUUAAUCAAACCUGGCUCCAAAAGGGCUGCAUGAUUGCAAUGGGGGACCUGGGUGGAUCGGUUUAACAGUGAAUGUCAAUGUAGAUGUUGUGGACGUUAUUGGAGUAGAUGAGUGGAGAUUUCUACCUCUUAUAAUCGUGGAUAAAGACCAUACGGGGGGGAUAAAAGAAAAAGCCUGAAAGUGGAAGAAUACCCAGAUUGAGGAAUCGCCAAUAGAAUUAUCAGAAACCAAGAUGCCAAAUCAAAAUAUUAGGACUUACCAAUGGAAUUGGCCUUUUCUCGGGAACACAAAACUGGACACUUAAACAAAGAACCUUGAAAAAGUUGGGAUUUAACUACACCACUUAUAAUCCUGCACUAUUGCAGUAUGGCAUUUAGUAUCCACAAACUAAAAUACCCAAAAGGUGAUCUGCGAUGCAGGAGACAUUAAAAUUUAUGACACUCUCCUACCAAAACCGAACAAUAUAACAGAUUCAAUUUCUUGCACCGAUGCUCAAGAAGACAUACUACCUCUGGCUGAAAUUCAAAAUGUUUCAACUACCAAAUCAAUACUUGCUAGCAAUGAAAAUCAUACAAUCAAUAAUAUAGCAGAUGAAUGUCCAGAAGAUGAAAAAGAAACACUAUCUCAUGUUAAAGAACAAAAUGUUGUAAUAACUGAAUUUGAUAGUGAUUAUGACAACAGAGCAUCGUCGUCAGAUAAUUAUAAUCCUGAAAAUGAAUCUGAUAGUACAAGCAGUUCUUCUAGUUGCUCCACUUGCUCUACAUCCUCAAGCUCUUCCAGUUCUUCUAAGGACACAAGCGAAGAAACAAAAAAACUUCCACUAAAAAGGAAAAAGAAAAACAUUGGAACUUGGAAAAAAAUAUCAGAAAACAAAAAAGACUUAGAGGAGAGGCAUACUUAAGUGUUAAAAAUAUAGAGAAACCAGCAAGUCCGUGAUGGCAAAGCGAAACAUAAAUGCCUCGAAUCUGUUUCAGAAGAGAAUAGGUCAAACAUUUAUGAAGAAUUUCGGCAACUCUCAUCAUUAGAUGAUCAGCGGAUUUUCAUUAUUCAUCAUGUUGAACAAAUACAAAAAAAAAGCACCAGAAAUAUAGAAACUUCCAGAAGGGUGAACACCUGUAAUUAUUUUCUUACCGUUUAUGGACAAAAAAAUAAAGUGUGCCGCGAAUUUUUCAUAUCUACACUUAAUGUAACAGAUUCAUUUAUAAGAAUAUCUUUACAAAAACGAUCUUCUACUGGAACAAUAGAAAAAGACCGCCGUGGCAAACAUACUCCUGCUAAUAAGUUAACUGAGGAUUGUUUGCAAAUGGUAGGUGAUCACAUUUUAUCAUUUCCUGCAGUUGAGUCCCACUACUGCAGGGCUUCAAGUAAAAAAAAUAUUUGGACCCUACCCUAAACUUGUCCAUAAUGCACAAUAUGUACAAAUCACAAUGCAAAGAAAAAAAUAUUCGCUCUGUUUCAAUCGAAAGAUACAGACAAGUUUUUAAAGAGUAUAACGUGGCCAAAGCCAAAGAAGAACCAGUGCAAGAUAUGUUUGGCACAGAAAAAUAUGACUGGAGAAGAAAAUGAAGCGCAAGAACAAACGUUCCAGCAACACUUGAGAAGAAAAAAAUUGGCACGCAAGGCUCGCAGUGCUGAUAAACUGGAAGCAAUAAACAAUUCUACUCUAUUAGCAUUCAAUUUUGACCUUGAAGCUGUACUCACAACUCUAAAAGGAUCUGCAGGACAGAUAUUUAUUUUACUUGCGCAAGUUAGCUGUUUAUAACUUGACAGUUUAUAAUAUUGGAGAUCAAGAUGGCAUUUGCUAUCUAUGGGAUGAAACCCAGGGUAAAAGGGGUUCAAAUGAAAUCGCUUCUUGUAUCUAUGAAUACGUAUGAUCUAAUCCAGAAGUUAGAAUGAUGUCAGAUGGCUGUGGUGGCCAGCAAAAGAAUUCAAAUUUUGCUGCUAUGUGUAUGCAGCUCAUUUCUGUUCAUCCUAGCUUGAAAAUCAUAGAUCAUUUUUCGAAAGCGGACACACUGAAAUGGAAUGCGAUUCCAUACAUUCCAAAAUUGAGCAGAAAGCUAAGCAUGUUCCUGUAUACAUUCCUGAAGGUUGGGCGCAAGUAAUACGAGAUGCUCGUAUGAAAGCACGCCCAUUUGAAGUGAGGAGCAGAAGCUUUGAUGAUGUUUAUGAUUUUAAAGAAUUUGCAGCGCAAAAAUUUGAGAUGAACAAAAUACCAUGGCGUAAGGUUUGCUGGAUUCGUUAUCUUAAAUCGGACAUGACGAAGGUGUUUUACAAAAUGGAUUUUGAACAAGAAUUUCAUGACAUAAACUGCAUGAAACAAUUUCGAGGUCGACCAAAAGUUUCACUUUAUACUCAAGCUCAUUUAAGCGUAUGAAUUUAGUUCCUUUUGUAUUUUCAGUAUUUUUUGAGAAAAUCUUUUUCGUUUUUAUAGUUUAUUUUGCCAAUGAUUUGGAAGUUUAAGUUGUUUUGUUUUCUUAGAUUUAUAGAUUAUGAUUUAGAGUUUAUCCUAGUUUCCCAAUGAAAAUAUACAUGUUUAUUUAUAUUUCAAAUCAAUAAAAAUAUUGAAAAUCA
rnacentral:misc_RNA from 1 species